GACGAACGCUGGCGGCGUGCUUAACACAUGCAAGUCGAACGAUGAAGCCCAGCUUGCUGGGUGGAUUAGUGGCGAACGGGUGAGUAACACGUGGGCAACCUGCCCCAAACUCUGGGAUAACUCCUCGAAAGAGGUGCUAAUACCGGAUACGAACUAGACAGACAUCUGUACUAGUUGGAAAGUUUUUCGGUUUGGGAUGGGCCCGCGGCCUAUCAGCUUGUUGGUGAGGUAACGGCUCACCAAGGCUACGACGGGUAACCGGCCUGAGAGGGCGACCGGUCACACUGGGACUGAGACACGGCCCAGACUCCUACGGGAGGCAGCAGUGGGGAAUAUUGCGCAAUGGGCGAAAGCCUGACUCAGCGACGCCGCGUGAGGGAUGAAGGUCUUCGGAUCGUAAACUUCUUUCAGUAGGGACGAAGCGAAAGUGACGGUACCUAAAGAAGAAGCACCGGCUAACUACGUGCCAGCAGCCGCGGUAA
rnacentral:rRNA from 1 species